AUGAUGAGGGAGAACAUGAAUAUUCAUAAGCCGUGCGGUGCUGUGGGCUGGGCGGCAGUUACGUCACAGUGCCAGAUGAAGGCAGUAACUCAGUCCGUGCCAGUUAGCAGCUAAUUUGCAUGGAAAUGAAAAGUCACGUCCCUGAUGCCGAACAGAGGAACUGCUUCACUGACCGCAGCCCGCAAGACCUGCCGCCUGCCGAAACGCAGCCAGAAAGAAGACUGACAGAUUAAAGUCAUUCAGUUUUGGCACUGAGCCUAUGCCACCUUGUUCCAGAAGACUAGGAUUACUCGAUGUCACACUGCCCCUCAUCCAAUCACUGAGAAUCAAAGUCGGGAAGCAGGUCAUCAGAGGCACCGCUGGAGUGCAGGAGAUUUGUGUAUGAAAAGGACUUCUUUGGAUUUGGUAGACUACGUCGAUGAACAGCGUUUCUUUUUGUUUAAUAUUAAUAAAAUGGCUAAUGAGGG